ACUAACGAAUAGAUGAAUAUAGAGUUCUUUUUUUUUAGAUGACAUAUUUAAUUAUAAUAAUAAUAAUAAUAAUAAAUUUAUAUAAUAUAUUUAGUCUGUAUAUAUUUAAUUGUUCAACUCAUGAUCCGUAUACUCAAUUAUAGGCAAUUUUCUAAUUUAAAAGUUAAUAACGAUUUUCCUCCGUAAUACUCAAUUUCACAAAAUUGACUUAAAUUUUUGAGCAAAUUUUUACUUAUUAAAAAAUAAUAAUUUAUUUUAGGAAUACACGCUCAUUUAGACACCACAAAAGGUGUUGGUUCAUCUUGACAGCAGGACGGUGGCUAUGGAAGUCGGAAUCCGCUAAGGAGUGUGUAACAACUCACCUGCCGAAUUAACUAGCCCUGAAAAUGGAUGGCGCUCAAGCGUGUUACUCAUACCCCACCGUUAGGGUAAAAGCGAAGCUCUAACGAGUAGGAGGGCGUGGAGGUUUGUGAAGAAGCCUAGGAUGUGAAUCUGGGUGAAACAGCCUCUAGUGCAGAUCUUGGUGGUAGUAGUAAAUAUUCAAAUGAGAACUUUGAAGACUGGAGUGGAGAAAGGUUCCAUGUGAACAGCAGUUGGACAUGGGUAAGUCGAUCCUAAGAGAUAGGGAAACUCCGUUUUAAAGUUGAACGAUUUUUCGUUCCACCUUAUCAAAAGGGAAUCCGGUUAAUAUUCCGUAACUAGGCUAUGGAUAUUUACUACGGUAACGUAAAUGAAAGAUUUUUAAAUUUAAUUGAUUAAACUUUCAUUAUUACGUUCAUUUUCAGAUAUUCGUAUAUUUAUUUUAAAAAAAUAUUAUU
rnacentral:ncRNA from 1 species